rnacentral:rRNA from 1 species
AUUGAACGCUGGCGGCAUGCCUUACACAUGCAAGUCGAACGGCAGCACGGGAGCAAUCCUGGUGGCGAGUGGCGAACGGGUGAGUAAUAUAUCGGAACGUGCCCAGUCGUGGGGAUAACGUAGCGAAAGCUACGCUAAUACCGCAUACGAUCUAUGGAUGAAAGCGGGGGAUCGCAAGACCUCGCGCGAUUGGAGCGGCCGAUAUCAGAUUAGGUAGUUGGUGAGGUAAAGACUCACCAAGCCGACGAUCUGUAGCUGGUCUGAGAGGACGACCAGCCACACUGGGACUGAGACACGGCCCAGACUCCUACGGGAGGCAGCAGUGGGGAAUUUUGGACAAUGGACGCAAGUCUGAUCCAGCCAUUCCGCGUGCAGGAUGAAGGCCUGGUUGUAACUAGCGUUUGUUACGGUAACGAAACCGGUAGAGGCUCUAAUACAAGUUUG